UACGGGGGGAGCAAGCGUUGUUCGGAAUCACUGGGCGUAAAGGGCGCGUAGGCGGCUGUUCAAGUCGGGGGUGAAAUCCUGUGGCUCAACCACAGAAUGGCCUUCGAUACUGGACGGCUAGAGACCGGAAGAGGUGAGUGGAACUGCGAGUGUAGAGGUGAAAAUUCGUAGAUAUUCGCAAGAACACCAGUGGCGAAGGCGGCUCACUGGUCCGGUUCUGACGCUGAGGCGCGAAAGCGUGGGGAGCAAACAGG
rnacentral:rRNA from 1 species